GAGUGCGGUAAGUCAUACCAGCACUAAAGCACCGGAUCCCAUCAGAACUCCGAAGUUAAGCGUGCUUGGGCGAGAGUAGUACUAGGAUGGGUGACCUCAUGGGAAGUCCUCGUGUUGCAUUCC
rnacentral:rRNA from 1 species